UUUAUUACCCACGUCGUGAAAGGCAUGCAGUCGCAGGGUGAUGACGAUACACAAACUCGAAGAUGGAGUGUAAACCCAAACACAUGUCUGCUUUUGCUUUAUAUCAAAUUGCAGCUGCGGAGUUGUCUCUUAAUGAAAAAAAAGCGUCCAUUGAAGGUGUCACCCAAAAAGAAAAAGCUGAAGGAGAAUGGUGUGGCCACCGCUAAA